rnacentral:misc_RNA from 1 species
UUUCCUCGGGCAAACACAUAGAUCAGCGCGUGUCUCGAGAGGAGUUGUCCGGUGUGUAAAAUACGCGCUCGACCGAUGAAAAGCGUGUUAAAGCGGCGGGGCGGGGAGAGCACGCUUGUAAUUCACUUUGCCGAGAGUCUGAUCUGGCAGCGAGGGCACGUUCUUUUCCACUAGGCUAGGACAGUUCGCGUGCCUGACCGAAACGUCGAUGAAUAGUUAAUCAAACUCGACGAUUUUCGGCAGAUUCUUCGCUUACAUAACAUUCUUUGAUACUACUAUAUUUUCUUUUUUUUUCUGUUCUAGACAGACGAGGUUCGAUUCGAUCCAUCCGAUUCUAUUCGCGGAUCGAAGCUCGCGUGAUUCUCGCAAAUUCAAAGAAAUUCGAAGGCUCUUUCUGCGGUUGAGAAGCGGAAUCGCCUAUCGUUUGAGUCUUUUCUUUUUUUAAUUUUAUUUUCGCUGAAAAAUUAGAACGAACGAUUCGUUUCACGAUUCAUCGUUUUGAAUCGUAAUAUAACGUUAUCUACCUGGUUUUCACUUGAGAAUUAACAUCCGAUAAGUUGCUAAUUGCGUGCAUGAUCAAUAGGAAAGUCAUUUAUAGUUGCUUUUGCACUAUGUAAUUAGCUGUUAUACACAAGUAGGUAAGACUAAACGUACUGCACGAUAAGUAUAAUUUACCGUUAAUUCUGUCAUAUUCCAAAGCGUAAAUAAUUUUAAUCGGAAGAAGAAUUCGU